rnacentral:lncRNA from 1 species
AUACCCAUGAGCCAGGAUCGACACACCAUCCGGGCUCCAGUGGCCACCGUAGAAGCCAAGAGCACAGUGACUAAGCUCUCCUACACACACAACGUUCACCCACACACCCGUUUUCUUCUCAGGUCGCCAAAUCAUCAUCGUCUUGUCCAUUGAAGCCGAUAAAAUGCUCAAUGGUUGGUGGCAGUCCACUGGAGGUUGCCACUCCACGGAAUAGACCCAAUCUUCAUGUCCAAUAAGAACAGAUUCCACUGAAACCUGAUACGUGAACCUCCCUGAAUCAAAAACAGGACCUUCAAUGUAAGAAGCCAGAGUGAUCUCUCUUUGCCAUGAGCCAACAUCACCUACUAACACAAGCUUCCAGAUUCGAAUGACUUUGUCCUGGGAAGAACUCACAAGCAUGAUACUAUUGGUGGGUUCAUCUGUUGAGUGUAACGGUAAUGAAAAGUCCAAACUUCGGAUCCAGUCCGUGUGGCCUUUAAGCUCACAGACAGAAGUGAACUUCCCCGUUCUUUCUCCACAGUACAGUUUGAUUUUGUUGUCUAAUCCACCCAUGGCGAGGGUGAAUCUUCCAGGAUUUUGAGGCAGCUCCGCUAACGAAAGCGUUACAAUUGCUUUGGAGUCAGCAGAGAUGGAGUCCAAGCACGAAACUUUACACUCCUCUGCAACAAAUAACACAUUAUGAAUUAUAGAUAAUGCUUUAAAAGACAUACACUUGUUUAACUUUAAUGCGUACCACUAGGCUGGGAUGGAAAAGAAACAUCCCAGACAUUCACAACUCCAUCUGAAGAACCAGAAGCAAACAUUGCAUCGGUUUCAGAACACAUAAACGCGGUGAUGCAAGUUACACCUUUCUUGUGAGACCUUGGGAGUUGUAGUACAUGUCUCCACUGCUGUUAGUAAAAUCAAACAAGACAUGUUAACAAGGAUCAGAGAUAAUACAGAAACUGUAGAGAUAAACUCAAUUGAGAUUUGAGAGAUUGAAGGAAAUUUUACAUUGUUACUGUUAGUUGAUAGCUCCCAAAGGAUGAUGACACCAUCUGUAUCACCUGAGAGCAGAUAAUGCCGGUCCAAAUGCUUGGCUGCAGAAAAUCAUAUUCAUUUCAAGGGAUUAAUCAAUCAUUCGAUGAUUUUCUCCUGCAAUCUAUAUUUAAAUUCUCCAUAAAGUUUGAUCUUUCACAGCAACUAAACCACCAAACCGGUAAAUAGAGACUAUAAAUAGAAAUCUGAAUGCAUAUACACUUCACAUUUUACUAAACAAGUGUCUAGUAGUGCUAGCUGUAACUCACGAAUCCUACAGUCUAAGUUCUCUUUAUGAUAAAAGGAGCACACUUAGAUCUAAUAGAUAAGUCAUAUAAGAAGAACUAAAGCCUCCAAUAUCAAAAGUAUCUUCCUUUGCAAUGCAAGAGAUCCCAAACACAAAUAGUUCAGCAAGUAAGCUAGAAGCAGAAGCAAGAAGGUACCUUUGAAAGCAAACUUGGAACUAGGUAACCAAUGAGUGCAAUUGACAGAAGCUUUGUGACCUGGAAGCGUUGUAAGAAUCUGGGCUGUCUGAAAGAGAAAAAAAAAAAACAAGAGAAAAAAUGUUACAUCUUGCUUAUUGAGAGAACAACAAAAGGGUUCUUGAAGAUGAGUGAAAGAGAGAAAGAGAGAAAGAGAGAGACCUUAGGGCAGAAAAUAGCAACGGCGUUUUGAGCACCGAAGGAAACGAGACCAGAAGCUCCCCAAGAGACGUUGUUGACGACUCUGUUGCAUCCUGCUCCUAUGAACACUCUCUUCGCUUCCACUUCGGUGUUUUCCGACAUCUUUAUCAGAAGGGUGGCUUUUGAUCUGAAGAUUACGGAGUUUCUUCUCUGUUUCUGGUGCGUAUACAAGUAAAAUAUCGCCGGCGGCGGAAAAUAUCGCCGGGAAUGUAAACAGGCUGAAAAUUUCGGAGACUAACAAGGGUUUAUUACUUUCGAGUUCUGAGAGGGAGUAUUUUGCUGGGCUUUAAUAUUGGGCCCAAAGUUUAUUACAAUAUGUAUUAGUUAUUGUUUCAAGACAAUUUUUAUGAGUUAUUUUAGUCAAUAAUAAUAACUAGGUGAUAGAUGAUCCACAGGCGGAGUGAAAUUUAUAGAACAACUAGGUGGUGGUCCGCAAUUUUGCGGGUUCGAAUAUUUUAUAAAAACAUAAUAUAUUAUAAUUUUAUGAAACUAAUUAUAUUUUUAUUCAAAAUUAAAUGUUAAUUUUAUUUGAAACUAUAAUCUUAAGUGUAAACAUAUGAAAUUUCUAAUGUAACAAAAAAUUAUUUUUAUUCAGAUCAACAUCGUUUUUAUUUUUUAUAUAUGAAAAUGAUUUAUAAUUUUAUGGACUUUGAAUAAUAAUUAUUUUUUUCUAAACUUUCUAGGAUUUCUACAGUAAGUUUUUAUAAAUAACUAUGUUUGAUAUUACUUGGAUCAUUUGGAAAAAAUAUUUUAAUUGGUUCUAAACUUACAUUUUUUAAUUUAAUUAAAAUAAAUUAAAAAAUUAUCAAUCAACAAAUGAGGAGAGCAGCAAUCACACUGCACCGGUUUUAGCUGCUAAAGACAAUGUGGCCUGUGACACAGACAAUGUUGAACCGGCAAAGGCACAAGAAAGCUCAGCUAGCAGGAAACCUCAUGAACUGGCUGGGUUAGAGACAAAUGGAGCAUCAGUCUCUGAAGGUGGUAACUCAACUAAUGUGCCAGAUGACAACUCUUGUACCACCAGCAAAAAGAGAAGAUUAAGUUCUGGCAACAUACAAGUUACUAGUGAAAAUAUGGAGCUACCUGCCAUUAACAGUUCUUGCAAGGAAGCUGAAUCAAAUAUGCCUCAGACAAACGAGGUGAUUCCGGCACUGAAUAAUGGUAGAGCGCAACCAAUCUGUGCACCGGUGUGGAGGUAAAGUAAAACACACUCCUCUCUAUUUUAUGCAUCUUAGUAUCAUCAUCACUUGAGUUCUGAUCUGUUUUUUUUUUUUUUGUUAAUAUGUAGAGGGUCGGUAACUGUAAAACAAGGAAACAAUUGUAGCAUUCAUGGACUCGUUGCUCAUUUAUCAACCUUAGCGUGCCCUAGAGUCUAUGAGAAGGCAAGUUCAUUACACACUCGCUUAUCUGCUGAAAUGCUUCCAAGGUUGGAGAUAUGGCCACCUAGCUUUCUCAAGAACGGACCACCUACAGAUGACAGUAUCGCGCUUUACUUCUUCCCUUCCCAUGAUAGGUGUGCUGUCUCAGACAUCCAAAUUUUGUUUCUCCCUAUGCAUAUGUUGUUAAGUGUGUCGACCUUACCUUUUCUGUUUUCCAGUAACGGUGAAAGUGUUUACUAUUCCCUUGUUGAUGAAAUGAAGAAGAAAGAUUUGGGGAUGAGAUGCUUGCUUGACGAUGCGGAACUUCUACUUUUCACCUCUUAUCAGUUACCACUGCCUUGCUGGAGUAAGUCUAUAAGUUUGUUUUUUUUAAAUUUCUACAGGUUGUUCAUUUAUGAUUCUCUUGAAGUUGUUAAAGCUAAGAAGGCUGAGUUUUCUGUCUGCAGAGUUUCACUCAAAGGAGUACCUGUGGGGCGUUUUCAGACGCAGAAAGACCUCUGGACAUUAGUCACUAGGCUCAAACCUUUGACGGUUUUGGUUGUCGAAUUUUUGCUAGUUGGCCAGGUUCUGUAUAAAAUCUACAACGAGAUGGCAUUGUCUGUUAGGUGGAUUCAUGCAACCAAUUAAUCAAAUUAGUGAGAACUGUAUGAUUACAACCAGUAUGGGAAAGAAUGAGUAUUAAAAUUACAGGAAAAUUACAUCAAGUAGCAUGAUAUCAAAACCUAUUAACUCACAUUCUUUCUUAACAUUACAGCAUGAUAUCAUUCUCUGCAAUUACUAAGAGUUGAUUGUUUUUUAUCAACCGGAACUUGAAGUCAUGAUCUUAAACAGUACAAGCUGUUCUGUGUUGCUCAGAACUUGAAGUCAAAAACUCUCACACAAUUAUCAUCCCCACAAGAAGUUAACCUCAGCAAACUCUGGUUACUCUCGGUUGGUCUCCAUGCUAACCGGUUCACGGCCGAGACAUGACACAUUAACGGUUCAAGCCUCAGAGCAAGAGCUGCUGUUGCCGUUGUACCUUCUUCCUCUGUUUCUUUAAUCUUUAUGUUCCACAGCUCAAUCAGCCCACUCUCCAUCCCAACAGCUAUGCACCCGCUCUUCUCCUUCUGGUCUAGUCCCGGUACUCUCGGUUGGUCUCCAUGCUAACCGGUUCACGGCCGAGACAUGACACAUGAACGGUUCAAGCCUCAGAGCAAGAGCUGCUGUUGCUGUUGUACCUUCUUCCUCUGUUUCUUUAAUCUUUAUGUUCCACAGCUCAAUCAGUCCACUCUCCAUCCCAACAGCUAUGCACCCGCUCUUCUCCUUCUGGUCUAGUCCCGUCCAAGCCACGGCUGUGACACUGCUCCCGAACUGAGGCAAGGCAAGAACCUGUUUGACGUGAGCGUCUUUCUCGAUGGACCAGAUCUUCACAGUCUUGUCUCUUGAUGAAGUUGCGAACUGAUGGCCAUAUGGGUUCCAUGAACAUGCCCAGAUGAUCCUCUUGUGUGCUUCGACCUUUGCCAUGAGUUUGUGACUAACAUCUCCAUCAUCUGAACAGAAAUGACCAAAGAAGAAAAAAUAGAUAAGACUUAGAUGACUAUACUGACACUCUAAGACUAAAAGCUUCAAAGUUCAAGGUUUUACCUGUUCUUUGGAUAGAGAACACUGAGAAGUGACGAUCUCUGGAGACGGACAAGAGCAGAGUGUCGUCAUAAGAGAACUCCAAGUGUGUCACUGUCAAGCUGUGGGAUUGCAAACGACCAACAGCUUUCCAUGUCCCAACUUCCCAUAGCCAUAUCUCCGCCAUGGCAGCAGACUGAGCCUGAACAAGUUUGUGGUUCAUGCUCGGUCAAAUAUGUAUAGGGGAGAUGGAGCAAGUGCAAACAUAUAUUAGCUUACCUUACAGGAUGAAGCAACAAGGGUUCCGUUGUGGUCGCAGCAGAGAGAAAAGAGUUCAUUACCAUGACCAUAGAGUUUAUGAGAUUCAGGCCAUAAAGUAUGAAACGCAAGCUGGUCUUCGAUUGGAGGCUCCUUCAACUCCACUGGAGCAGCCUCUGGAACCGUUUCAAAUGUCUCCAAACCUUCUCCUCCUCCAUUUCUCUCCAACGGUUCACUAGAAGCUACACACAAAAUAAAAAAUAAUAUGAAAUCUCAAGACCGUAUUGGUUAAAAGCUAGACAGGAGUUGAAUCAAUCACUCACAGUGUAAGUAGAUAGGUUUCUGAGAUAAACCAAGAGCAGACAUAUUUGCGCCAAGGACCUGCACAUCUGCUUGUAAAUCCUCAGGGAAGCUUCCUUCUCCUCCGGCACAAGUGUGUUUCAGUGUCUUUAAGAAAGACAGAGGAGCCUCGAAAACUCUCACAACUUUCUCCUCUGCUCCACUUACAAAACGGUGGUUGCCUUUACCUUGAACUAUAGCCACACAGUUAAUGUCAUGACCAUGAACCUGAGGACGAGCCAGUUCAUGCCAAUGCUCAUUCUCCUCAUCGCUCUUCCAUGAUGAGAACACCCGAGUGGUCUGAUCGUGGCUCACGGAUAGCAAGUACUCGCCGGUUCUAGCCCACGUGAUGUCAGUCACAGCAGCAAAAUGACCUGAAGGGACUUUCUGCAUCUGCCAGUUUUCAAACUCUUUGCUGCUACUAACAUUUCUCCAGAGAUGAAAAGAUCCACCAUACCCAUGAGCCAGGAUCGACACACCAUCCGGGCUCCAGUGGCCACCGUAGAAGCCAAGAGCACAGUGACUAAGCUCUCCUACACACACAACGUUCACCCACACACCCGUUUUCUUCUCAGGUCGCCAAAUCAUCAUCGUCUUGUCCAUUGAAGCCGAUAAAAUGCUCAAUGGUUGGUGGCAGUCCACUGGAGGUUGCCACUCCACGGAAUAGACCCAAUCUUCAUGUCCAAUAAGAACA